rnacentral:rRNA from 1 species
GUAGGGUGCGAGCGUUAUCCGGAAUCAUUGGGCGUAAAGAGCUCGUAGGCGGUUCAGCAAGUCGGCUGUGAAAUUCCGAGGGCUCAACCUCGGAACUGCAGUCGAUACUGUUGUGACUCGAGUCCGGUAGAGGAGAAUGGAAUUCCCGGUGUAGCGGUGAAAUGCGCAGAUAUCGGGAGGAACACCAGUAGCGAAGGCGGUUCUCUGGGCCGGCACUGACGCUGAGGAGCGAAAGCGUGGGUAGCAAACAGGAUUAGAUACCCUGGUAGUCCACGCCGUAAACGUUGGAUACUAGGUGUGGCGUUCCGACCAACGGUCGCCGUGCCGAAGCUAACGCAUUAAGUAUCCCGCCUGGGGAGUACGGCCGCAAGGCUA